GACGAACGCUGGCGGCGUGCUUAACACAUGCAAGUCGAACGGAAAGGCCCUGCUUUUGUGGGGUGCUCGAGUGGCGAACGGGUGAGUAACACGUGAGUCCCCUGCCCUUGACUUUGGGAUAACUUCAGGAACCUGGGGCUAAUACCGGAUAGGAGCUCCUGCUGCAUGGUGGGGGUUGGAAAGUUUCGGCGGUUGGGGAUGGACUCGCGGCUUAUCAGCUUGUUGGUGGGGUAGUGGCUUACCAAGGCUUUGACGGGUAGCCGGCCUGAGAGGGUGACCGGCCACACUGGGACUGAGAUACGGCCCAGACUCCUACGGGAGGCAGCAGUGGGGAAUAUUGCACAAUGGGCGGAAGCCUGAUGCAGCAACGCCGCGUGCGGGAUGACGGCCUUCGGGUUGUAAACCGCUUUCGCCUGGGACGAAGCGUGAGUGACGGUAAUGGGUAAAGAAGCACCGGCUAACUACGUG
rnacentral:rRNA from 1 species